rnacentral:tRNA from 1 species
GAGGGUAUAGCUCAGUGGUAGAGUGCAUGCCUAGUGUGCACAAGGUCCUGGGUUCAAUCCCCAGUACCUCCA